UACGUAGGUGGCAAGCGUUGUUCGGAUUCAUUGGGCGUAAAGGGUGCGUAGGUGGCGCGGUAAGUCGGGUGUGAAAUCUCGGAGCUUAACUCCGAAAUUGCAUUCGAUACUGCCGUGCUUGAGGACUGGAGAGGAGACUGGAAUUCAUGGUGUAGCAGUGAAAUGCGUAGAGAUCAUGAGGAAGACCAGUGGCGAAGGCGGGUCUCUGGACAGUUCCUGACACUGAGGCACGAAGGCCAGGGGAGCAAACGGG
rnacentral:rRNA from 1 species